UACGAAGGGGGCUAGCGUUGCUCGGAAUCACUGGGCGUAAAGCGCACGUAGGCGGACUCUUAAGUCGGUGGUGAAAUCCUGGAGCUCAACUCCAGAACUGCCUUCGAUACUGAGAGUCUCGAGUCCGAGAGAGGUGAGUGGAACUGCGAGUGUAGAGGUGAAAUUCGUAGAUAUUCGCAAGAACACCAGUGGCGAAGGCGGCCCACUGGCUCGGUACUGACGCUGAGGUGCGAAAGCGUGGGGAGCAAACAGG
rnacentral:rRNA from 1 species